rnacentral:rRNA from 1 species
GACGGGUAUCCGGCCUGAGAGGGUGAACGGACACACUGGAACUGAGACACGGUCCAGACUCCUACGGGAGGCAGCAGUAGGGAAUAUUGCUCAAUGGGGGAAACCCUGAAGCAGCAACGCCGCGUGGAGGAUGAAGGUUUUAGGAUUGUAAACUCCUUUUGUUAGAGAAGAUUAUGACGGUAUCUAACGAAUAAGCACCGGCUAACUCCGUGCCAGCAGCCGCGGUAAUACGAAGGGUGCAAGCGUUACUCGGAAUCACUGGGCGUAAAGAGUGCGCAGGCGGGAUAGCAAGUCAGAUGUGAAAUGCUAUGGCUUAACCAUAGAACUGCAUUUGAAACUGUUAUUCUA